rnacentral:rRNA from 1 species
UACGGAGGGUGCGAGCGUUGUUCGGAAUUACUGGGCGUAAAGCGCGUGUAGGCGGCUACCUAAGUCUGGUGUGAAAUCCCGGGGCUUACCCCCGGAAGUGCACUGGAAACUGAGUAGCUAGAGUACCGGAGAGGAGGGUGGAAUUCCUGGUGUAGCGGUGAAAUGCGUAGAUAUCAGGAAGAACACCGGUGGCGAAGGCGGCCCUCUGGACGGAUACUGACGCUGAGACGCGAAAGCGUGGGGAGCAAACAGG